AACGGUCUAUACCUGCGGUACCUGCGGAGGGAUCAUUACACAAUAAUAUAUGAAGGCUGCUCGCGGCUGGAGUAUUUAUUACCCUUGUCUUUUGCGCACUUGUUGUUUCCUGGGCGGGCUCGCCCGCCACCAGGACCACAUACAAACCUUUUUUAUGUAGUUGCAAUCAGCGUCAGUAUAACAAAUGUAAAUCAUUUACAACUUUCAACAACGGAUCUCU
rnacentral:misc_RNA from 1 species